UAAGUAUGGCUUUGGAGAAAGCACUUGAUAUCAUAGUACCAUGGCUUAUCAUCUUUCACCUCCUCAACUGCAAACACGUGAGCUGGUCUAUCCAAGCGCAUCACAGUAAUAUUUGGGACUUCAUUCCAAUAAUUGACAAUAAUCAUUGAAGCAAGCGUAGCGAGAGAAUCCGCCAUCCGAUUCUCGUCUCGAGGAAUAUGAUGGAAGUCCACUUUAGUAAAUAAAGUUGAA
rnacentral:lncRNA from 1 species